rnacentral:lncRNA from 1 species
CAAAGUUAAAACAUAAAUUCAAAUAUGGUUGGAAUUCUCAAACUUGUUUAUAUUGUGAUCAUUUAUGUUUCUUUUUUUCUUGUUGUAUGCAAGGGUGAAACGUGUGUUACUGUCGACGAUUGUCAGGGAAAACAUCAUUUGCCUCCUGGAUAUCACUUUAUUUGCAUGAACAGCCGUUGUGUUUUGAUAUAUUAUAAUUAGGGUGGGUGGAGGUUAUGUUUGCUCGCAACAUAGGUGGUGAUGUAUCGGUCACGAAGGUGACGAUGGAUGGUUCACUUAUGAUAUGUUAUGGUUUCGACGAAUCUUUUGUUGUGUUGGUUUCAUGGUGGUGCUGAUUUUGGUUCUUUUGUGAUGGUGCUCGUGGUGAUUUUUGACGGUGGUGCUCGUGGUGGUUUUUGGUGGUGAUGCAUGUGGUGGCUGGUGUUGUUUUUUGGUGAGGGUUAAUGGUAGUUUGGUGGCGGUGGUAGUAGUGGUCUUGGUUUUUGUGGUGGUGUUUUUGGUGGUGGUUAUGUUUUUUUUUCUUCUUGAUCUAUGAUGGUAUAAGGGUUUUUGGUCGGUUUUUACGGUUCUUUAAGAGGUGUGUUUUUGGAUGAAGGUGCUCGGGAAAGUUAAUGGUGUUGUUUGGGGUUUUCUUCGCGGCUGUUUUUCAAAGGUUGUUGGUUGUUGUUUAGAUUUUUAUGUUGUUGUUCAGGGGUUGUGAGCGAGCAACAUAAUGUAGGUGGUGGAAGUUGUUUUUGUGGCCGUUUGAGGAUUUUGGUACAACUUUUGUUUAUGUUAUUGUGCGGAGGUUUGUAUUUGAUUGUGGUGUGGUGUUUUCUAUAGAUUUUCAUUGCGGUCUCCCCAUCUAUCCUUUGUAUGUUGCUACUUUAAGACUCCUAGCCUAGCAUUCCUUGUGCUGGUCAGGAUUCAUUGCAAUUUUAAUAAAUUCCAUUUUCGCUUCUUAAAAAAAAAAAAAAAUUGCAAUGAUGGAACAAACACCAUCCGAAAAAUUCCAUUAAAUAAUAUUGAAUUGAUCGGGCAAAGCCAAUUCAUUUUUACGACUUUAUUCUUGGUUUUGUUAUAAGAUUAAUCUUUAAAUCGACGGUGGACCAUUAAAAUUUCUUUUUUUAGGGCAAUUCAUUUUAUUAUUACUAAAAAAAUAUAUUCAUCUUAGUUUGAAUGAAAUUAUUUGUUUUCACAUAAUUGAUGUAUGCGCCAUAUCAUUUAAAGAGCGGUCAUAAAUUUCCAUUGACUUUCAAAGUAAGGGAACCAAAAAGAUGGUUUUAAAAAAUGGAGUAUCAAAAGUUAACAAAAUUAAAAAUAAAAGAAUCAAAAUUACAUUUAAGCUCAUAAAAUAAAAUAAAAUAUGAAAGACAUGUAUUUAAGUGACAUAUCAAAUAUUUUAUUAAUUAUUAUUGAAAGCUUAAAUAUCUUUUGCAGUGCCAAAAUAAUAUCGGUACUUGGCCAACCCAAUAAAAUAUAAAAUUGUACAUUUAAAGAAAAUAUUAUUAAGACAAAACAUUGAGCUUGGAACCAUAAAAUGAUGCAUCGAGUAAAAUUCAAUAUUUUAACAAUGUAACAUUAACUCCCCUAAAAAAAAAAAAACAAUGUAACAUUAACUUUUUUCCCCUCAAUAAGACCCUCAUUGAAUUCUACAUACAUCCGUAACCGAAAAAAUCCCCAAAGCUGUAUGGAUCACCGAACAAGAUCUGAUGUCAACAAAAUACAACAAGAAAAAUUCCAUUAUAUAAUUUCUCGAUCUUCCCUCAAAAAGUACAAGAGAGCAUCUUAAACUCGUCUUGGAUAGUGUAUUUUGAUAAAUUUAAACAUAUAAAGGUGGAUCGAAAAAUUGUUUUUUCAUUGUUAUUCCUAAAUCAUAGCGCCACAUUCUUCACUUGGACCUACCACAGUCCACCCACAACUAAGGCCUACAAAUCCUUCAAUAGCUCCAUCGGGAUUUAACUCCUAAUUUACCUUUAAGCAAAAAAAAAAAAAAGUCUAUCGGGAGUUACGUCCCAAUAGGUUGAGCAAAUAAGGAGGUCAAAAAAACAUUCACCUUUUAGAAGAGGCUCGAUGUUGCAAUUAAUUCAUGUUGCGAGAAAAAUGUAGGAAUUCCUUGUAUUACAAUUAAAAUGAUCAGGACCAUCACUUUUUCUACCAAUUAAAUUACAUAGUAAGCAACUUUCAUUUUAGUGUGAGACCAAUUUCUAUUAGAAAGUUUUUGAAUCAAUUUGCAGUAAGGAUGACAGAAACACCCCCAGACCUCAGUAGUGAUAUUCUUUCUUUAAGAUUUUGUUAAUGAUUGAUAAUAAAAAAAUGGAAUC